UGUGUAGGCGGUUGUUUAAGUUUGGUGUGAAAUCUCCCGGCUCAACCGGGAGGGUGCGCCGAAUACUGAGCGACUAGAGUGCGGGAGAGGAGAGUGGAAUUCCUGGUGUAGCGGUGAAAUGCGUAGAUAUCAGGAGGAACACCGGUGGUGCAGACGGCUCUCUGGACCGCGACUGACGCUGAGACACGAAAGCGUGGGUAGCAAACAGGAUUAGAUACCCUGGUAGUCCACGCCCUAAACGAUGCAUAUUUGGUGUGGGUCAUUCAGUUGAUCCGUGCCGGAGCUAACGCGUUAAAUAUGCCGCCUGGGGAGUACAGUCGCAAGGCUAGAA
rnacentral:rRNA from 1 species